rnacentral:lncRNA from 1 species
CACGGCCGUAGGGGGAAGCCCAGCGGUGUUUGACCCCGGCGCUCACGGCUGCCGCCAAACCGGGCUGCACUGCGUCACCAGCGCCGUCCCCACAGCCACGGGGCUGCCAGAACCCACCAGGACCCCCCGCCACCCGCAAGGACCGCCUUUGUGUCACAGAUAGGCACGGCCGCCGUUCCAAGCGCCGAUAUCCCACUUGCAGAUCACUCACGCCCAGGGUGAGGGGCAGGUGAGUGCCUGGGGACGCCCUUCCCGAUCCCGGAGCCAAGGGAGGAAGCGGCUGGAGGCAGGAAGCCGUCCUCAGGGCCCCCGGAGCACUUUUGCUCGAAGGUCAGCAGCAGCACAACAGGAAAUCACGCUGCCCCGGCACAGCGGCCGGACCAGAGUGCUGCGCCGUGCUGUGCUGCCCGAGGGGUGUUCCCAGCCCCCAGCUCUCCAUCCCGGCCCGGUGGCUUGCGGGGGGGCCCACGCCACAGCUGCUCUCCAUGGAAGGGGGACGGGAGCCGGGGAGAAGCCGCUGGCCCCAGGGUGGAGGAUGCAGGGCUGAAGCCCCCAGCAGAGCAUGGAGCUGAACAGUGAGUGCGGGGUGAAGGGGACGGGCACGAGUGGGAAGGGGCACUGUUGCGGCAGUGGAAAACCAAAUCACAGUCCCAGCCUCCCUGGCACGGGCACAGCCCUCACCCCACACGUUGGAAGCGAAUGCUAAGGGUGGCUCUGGUUUGGUUAUAGCUGCCCACUGCCAGUUUGGCAUCUCGCUGCAUCCAGCCUCGGGGAGCAGGUUCUGCCCAAUCCUUUUGGGGACAGGUGCAAUGCCGAGGUGGCAGCGAGCAGGGACACAGGUGGAUGAACCGAGGGCUCUCAGAGAUGGCAGUCAGCAGCAUGGAGCUCAGAAGUCAGCCAGCUGAGGGGGUGCCUGGGGCAGCAACGUGCCCGUGGUGCCGGCCGAGGCCAUGCACAGGCGAGCCCUUGGCUGCUGCAGUGGCGAGGAGCCGACGUGCACGGCGGGAGGCUGCAGGCAGGGAUUCCCCGAAAUGCACGUGACAGCCAGAGCUGCUCCUGGCACAAACUCCUAAGAGGAGGGCCUGCGCAGGGAACACAGCACAGCUCCCUGCCUGCUUCCCGGGCUGGAGCUGAGCCUAAAACCCAGCACUAACGCUUGUCACUUCCCCCCAGCCCUUCUGCACUGCUGGGAAAUCC